AGGCCUAACACAUGCAAGUCGAACGGUAACAUGAGAGCUUGCUCUUGAUGACGAGUGGCGCACGGGUGCGUAACGCGUAUGCAAUCUACCUAUAACUGAGGAAUAGCCCAGAGAAAUUUGGAUUAAUACCUCAUAAUAAUAUUUUUUGGCAUCAUUAAAUAUUUAAAACUCCGGUGGUUAUAGAUGAGCAUGCGUUCUAUUAGCUAGUUGGUGAGGUAAAGGCUCACCAAGGCUACGAUAGAUAGGGGGCCUGAAAGGGUGAUCCCCCACACUGGUACUGAGACACGGACCAGACUCCUACGGGAGGCAGCAGUGAGGAAUAUUGCACAAUGGAGGAAACUCUGAUGCAGCCAUGCCGCGUGCAGGAUGAAUGCCCUAUGGGUUGUAAACUGCUUUUUUACAAGAAGAAACGUUGGUACGUGUACCAAUUUGACGGUAUUGUAAGAAUAAGCACCGGCUAACUCCGUGCCAGCAGCCGCGGUAAUACGGAGGGUGCAAGCGUUAUCCGGAUUUAUUAGGUUUAAAGGGUUCGCAGGCGGAAUUUUAAGUCAGUGGUGAAAGCCUAUAGCUCAACUAUAGAACUGCCACUGAUACUGAUAUUCUUGAGUGUAGAUGAAGUGGGCGGAAUAUGUCAUGUAGCGGUGAAAUGCAUAGAUAUGACAUGGAACACCAAUUGCGAAGGCAGCUCACUAAACUAUUACUGACGCUCAUGAACGAAAGCAUGGGGAGCGAACAGGAUUAGAUACCCUGGUAGUCCAUGCCGUAAACGAUGAUCACUAGAUGUUGGCGAUAUACAGUCAGUGUUUAAGAGAAAUCAUUAAGUGA
rnacentral:rRNA from 1 species